AUUUUCUAGGUGUCCACAAAUUAUCCAUUACCAAAAAUAAAUAAUUCAUCAAAUGAUGUGGAAGUUGAAGAUUACACUCCACUAGUUUUAAAAUCAGAUGAGUGCUUUGAGAAUUUUAUGGAUCCCUUUUCUCCUACAAUUUCUUCUUACGAGAAUCUACUUAGAACACCUACACCCCCAGAAAUAACUGCAAUUCCAGAGGAUAUUCUCCAGGUUAUUUUUUAAGACAAUUUUAUUUUUUUCUGAUAUUAAAGACUUGAAACUGCAUGUAAGCUGUCUUGUCAUUAGGCUAAUGUGCUGGCUCUUUAGUGUUGACACAAUCUAAAUUCUAGGCAGAUAGGCCCUCCUAAGAACACCUGGUUUCUGAGCUUAGUAUAAGCUAGUGACUUCCCAUAUUUUUAAUGAGCUUCCCACAUUUUUAGGGAUGUUAUACCAAUGGGGCAUGUUUCUCUUUACCUUUGAAAUGUAUUCUUAUCAAUAUUGUUCAGCUAUGAUUUCCACACUGACCAUUAUUCCAUUAGAAGUGUUGCAGACAAAGUCAGAAAUGUCAUUCACCCUCAAUUCUUCAGAGCAGGGUAUCAUUAAUUACAUAUCAGUUUCUUGAACUUGAGGCUUCUUGGGCCUCAGCUUGAGAAACACUGGUUUACAUGUAAAUAUCUGAUUUUUGAAUGUAAAUUUGCCAGUCUUACUACUAAUUUCUAACUGCCAACUGUACUAAAUAACCAGUCUGAUUUCUUUGACAAUCCUCUUCUUUAACAGAGUGUUUGGCUGGUAUUGCUUAGGCACGUGAAUUUUGUUUGUUUUGGUCCCAGGGAUUGAACCCAGAGGCACUCAACCACUGAGCCACAUCCCCAGCCCUAUUUUGUAUUUUAUUUAGAGACAGGGUCUCACUGAGUUGCUGAGCGCCUCACCUUGCUUAGGCUGGCUUUGAACUCAUUAUCCUCCUGUCUCAGCCUCCCAAGCCAUUGGGAUUACAGGCAUGUGCCACCACGCCCGCAUGCCCUUUUUAUUUUUUAUUUUGAGGCAAGGUCUCACUAAGCUGCUGAGCCUGGCUUUGAAUUUGCAGUCCUCCUGCCUCAGCCUGCCAAGCCACUGGGAUUACAGGCCUGCACCAACAUGCCCAGCUGGCACAUAGAAGUCUCAGUAACUACUCUAGAAAGGUUCCUGGCUUAAGAAAAGCCAUAAGAAGGAUAACCACUUGGGAAAUUAACUAAAUGUCAUCAGAAUUGAGCUACUUGGGAAAAUAACCAAAUGUCAUCAGAAUUGACCCAGGAUAAGAUAUUUAAUUAUUUCUUAUCCUGUCUUUUCUGCUUUUCUGGGCAAUACCUACAAUAGUUGAAUGAGUAUAGCAUGUUCCCAUGGUUCAUUCUUCUCAAUUCUAUUUGAAAGGAACAAAGCCUUGUAUUUAAUGUCACUUCUUUUUUUAAUAAUAUGUAUUUUUUUAUUUGUAGAUAGACACAAUAACUAUUUUACUCGUUUGUUUUUAUGUGAUGCUGAGGAUCAAACCCAGUGCCUCAAUAUCCUAGGCAAGCACUCUACCACUAAGCUACAAACCCAACCCCUUUAUGUCACUUCUUUUUGGGGGACAGGGAGUUUACUGGGGAUUCAGCCCAGGGGCAUGCGACCACUGAGCCACAUCCCCAGCCCUAUUUUUAUUUAGAGACAGGGUCUCACUGAGUUGCUUAGCACCACACUUUUGCAGAGGCUGGCUUUGAACUUGUGAUCCUCCUGCCUCAGCCUCUCACGUCACUGGGAUUAUAGGCAUGCACCACCAUGCCCAGCUUUAAUGUCACUUCUUUGUGUAGGAAAAGGAUGCUGACAUUUCAGAGUUUCCUUUUAUGAUCUUUAUAACUGAUGAGCUUUCUUUUAAACAUUGUUUCAGAUUUUUCCCUAACAGCUUCAGCUUGUAAAGGCUUACUUGCUCUUGGGGAUGUAUUGGUUGCAUUAUCCUCAGUUAAUGAGGAUAAUGCCUUUCAAACCUUUACAUCCAGUUAAAUUUCUAAUAUCUCAAUGUUUUCAUUGCUGUUGAAUGUCUGCAGGCAUGCUAAAUAAGUGUUUUAAAUAACCUUUAAUUUUCCAUGGCUUUUCUUGAAUGUUUUCUAACAUUUUCUAUAUUUGUUAUGUUAUUCAUAUGACUUGACAGAAAAAAAAAAAUUUGCUUGUUUUAGAUUUUGUCAAAAUACAACUCAAACCUAGCUACUCCAGUAGCAGUGAAGGCAGUGCCACCCAGGAGAGGUUUCCUCAAAUACAAAAGACAGAAUACCCAAGAUGCUGGCGACAAAGAAAACUGGUGAAAGUGAGUAUUCUACUGUUCUAAAGAAAAUAUGGAUUAUUUGAGAGGACAUUUUAAAACUAACAUAGAAUGAUAGUAAAAAUAGUUUAUGGGCUGGGAUUGAGGCUUGAUGACAGAGCGCUUGCCUCACAUGUAUGAGGCAUUGGGUUCAAUCCUCAGCACCAUGUAAAAAUAAAUAGAUAAAGGUACUGUGUCCAUCAAAACUAAAAAAAUAUUUUAAAAAAUAGUUGCUGGGGCUGGGGCUACAGUUUUCCUGGUUAACAAUUUUCUCUUCUUGGCUGAACUGUUGUGUUUCUUAGCUGGGCUUUUAUGUAAAAGUGGGAUGUUUUUGAUCAGAUUGUAUUUACAUGACAUCCUGGAACUGUGGCAUUCCCUCAAGUACAUUGUACACAUUUAAAAUAUAGUCUAAAUAUUUAUUCACAAUAUGAAUUAGUGUGGCUCAGAAAAGGCAGUUACAACCUAUUGAAUAAAUAAUUUUAGUUUUAAAAAAUUUGGAAAGUCUUUGAAGGAGUCAUAAUGAUGUCUCAUCUCAGUUGUUAGAAACAGCCACUAAAUACCUUUUUUUUUGACUAAAUGGUAUUUUAAUUUUUAAAUGUUUAAGUAACAAAACAAAGGAAAAAAAGGGGGGAAAUUUUUAAUCAGUUGACUGUAGGUGUAGACUUUCUUCCUUUCCAUUGUCAGAUACCACCUUCCCAUCAUAAAAACAAAUAGAUAAAAACUUUUGCAAACAACUGUUGUAGCAAGUUCUUAACAUUCCUGGAUGUUAAUACUAAAUUUCAGAACUAUACAGUUGAAGUUGCAGAAACAUUUGGAAUAAGUGGAUGUUUUACCCUCAUAUUGCAAAGAUUAGUUUUCAUAACAAAUUUGAUAUAAAUUUUGUUGUUGGAAAUCUUCUGUUUAAUAAGUUGUUCAUUAUUUUAAGUCAAUUUGAAAAUGUGGAACUUCAUGCUAUCUCUGUUCUUUUAAACAGGAGACAAGGUUUUUGGUAUUGAUGAUGGAUAAUAAAUUUAAAGGUGUCUAUAUGUGUAUGUAUUUUUUUUCAAUCAUGUGCCAGGUUAUUUUAUUUAUAGUUAAGUUUACUUGAACUCUUCAAUUCUUUUACAUUUAUUAGAGAUUGUCUAUUUUGAAAAAUAAAAAAGUGCAGAAAAUAAUAAUUUAUUUCAUGUAAUGCUAAGUUUACAUAGAUGGUGUAUAUCUGUAAUUGUGACAUCUUUUGACAAGCAAAUUAGACCAUAGAAAGAACAUCCAACUUGGAGCUUGGGACAUAUACUAUACUUAAGUAUAUGUCAAAAGCAAGCCAUUCUGGUCAGUGAGGGUUCAUGAUCAAACUCAGCCUUUGCAGUGUGGAAGUAGCCUCAUAAAGGAAAUUGCAACCUAAGUAGAAAAUAAUGUACUGUCUGAAUUGAAGCUAAAAGUUAGAGGUAAAAACCAAUGCAUAAAAUUACAUUAUUUUUAGAUCCAAAACUAACUUGAAAAUAAAUUAAUUAAGGAAAACAAUUAAGGUGGCAGAAAUCAGAAAAUGCAGUUAUUUUAGUUCCUUAUCUCAGAAAUUGAAAUUAUUAAGAUUGUGAAAAUUUUUCUCUAUGUAAUAAUACUAGAUUAAAAUUCAGUAUCUGUUCCCUUAUACUAUAUGACAAUGGUAAAAAGGAUUGUCUUGAAAUGAUCAAAUGUACACAUUACUUUUAGAUGGCAGCAUUCCUCUUUUACUUUUUUUUAUCCUGGAUUGAUUGGUAAAAUAACCCAAUAUUGCUUUAUACAGAUAUGUAAAAAGAUGAGAGAAGAUGUAUCAAUUAGUUUUUAAUUGCAUUGUCAUUUAGAACACACAUGUACAAAUGGUGAGGUUUUGACUGCCCAUCAGAGCACCAAUGCCUUUGUAACAACUGUUGUAGAUAAACCUCUUUAAGUUUAAGAGUAGCAAAACCUGUUACAGCACCUGCUUUUGCAUAUGCAAAUAUGUUGUUUUGUCCUUUCAUUAAGCAAGAAGAGUUAACAGUCUCCUAUGGUUGUAAAUAAGUCUCAAACAUGGCCUACAUGGAUUGAAAUCCUGUAAAAAGACAACUGUGGUUUCUGUUGUAUACUCAUGGGAGGUUGUUUCUGUUUGGACUUUGUUUCCAGAAGAGUGCGCCUACUUUGAAGGAAAGGUAGAAAGGCAAGUUAAUGUUCAGAGGCAAGAACAGGGAAGGUGUUUGCUGUCAUUGACUAUGGGGUAGUUGUGAAUUUUGACAUGCCCUAAAGCUACUGAAUGCCAUGUUGGCCCCUAUAUACUGCAUACCUCAGUUUUCAUCAUCUGGUGAGCCUGCAUCAGGAUUUCCAGGCACUGGAAUUAACACCACAUCUACUUUCCUUUGGAAUUGAUUGAUUCACAGAACAGGACAUGCUUGUGGAAUCUUCCUUUGCUAUAAAAUGAUAUAAAUGAUUUAAAUGUUUUCUUUUUUAUUUUUCGUUGUAGAUGGACACAAUGUCUUUAUUUUCAUGUGAUGUUGAGGAUCAAACCAAGUAACUCACAUGUGGGAGGCAAGUGUUCUAAUACAGAGCCAAAACUCCAACCCCUUGAAAUGUAUUCUUUAGAAAAAAAAGAAUGUAUCAUUUGUUUAUAUACCUUAUUGCUUAUGGGAAAGAAAUUUUCAAAUAGUAAUGCCAGCAGAAAGUGCUGAAAACUUUUGGAUUAUUGUGUUGAACUUCAGCAUAUUAGAAACAAAAGUGAGAAAAUAAAAUCAGGGGAAUAAACGGUGGAAGGAUUUUCUUCUCAUGUGCUAUAUAUCUUCAAAAAGGAUAUCAGAAGGACAUAAUAAAAAUGGCCUCUCAGAAUUUGCAAAAUGACAGGAGAUUUUAUUCCAUUGGAGCAGAUUGCUUUGGGGAAAGAAAAAGGAAAUACUAGAAUUGAUGAGCAAAUAUUGUAUACUGUCAUUAUAAAUUAUAUUAUUUUGAAGUUUUUUCUAUUUUUUUUUGGUAAAAAUAGUAUAAAAAGCAUGUGACAUAGAAAAUAAUAUUAAGGAUCUGUUGUGUUUUAUCUUCAAGUGUGUUUAUUCUGACAUAGAUUUACUAUGAACAGGAUUGAAAAUAUUUUAUAGCUUUGGGAGAAAAUUAAUAUUUUUUCUUAUCUUUUAAUAAACAUUGUCAAAUGAUUUCCCUGCUCUGACACAGUGCAUUACAUUUGCAAAGGUUGGAAGUUAACUCUCAAGGCACCAGACAUCAUUUUUAUUGGGAUUUUAAUUCUCAGAGGUCCUAGUCUUAUCAAUUUGUAGGCAUUUUCUUUUAUAGGUCAUUCUGAUUUGUAGAUCUUUCUUUUUAUAUCAGUAUUAAAUACCAAACCUUCUAUGAUAUGAAGUUCAUUAGAGAUAUGCCUUUGAUGGCAUCCUUUUCCUGGCUUGAGUUUCAAAAAUACCUUGAUGUAAAGUUUCAGAAGUCAUGUGUUGUAAGCCCUCCUUGAAUGUGCCUUUUUUAGAUCUGCAUGGUAAAUCAAGGAACAUAAAUAACACAGUAGCAGAUAGAAGUGUGGAGUUAAGACCAGUGAACAAUUUUAUAUGUAUUUUGUUAUGAUGUUGACAGGAGCUAAAAUUCAGUAAUCUAGUUCAACUGAUCUAUAUUUCAAAGAAAUCUCAUUUAGUAGCAACUUGAAGGUUUGUAGUAUAAAAUUCUCUUAAUGCUGCUUUUGUUGUAUUCUUUGCUAAAUUAUCUGGUCAAGAUUUACCUUUGCUUUCUUAAAGCUGCAAUCAUGUAACAAGCAGUCUUAAAUAUUAUGAAGGCAUUUAUGUCUAGACUAUGAACUAAAGGUAAUCACAUAUUCAGCCCUGAAUAUGGUACAUUUUGAAAAUACUGUUGUCCAAACUUAAAUAUCAAGGCAAUACAGAUAAGGGUGUGUGUGUGUGUGUGUGUGUGUGUGUGUGUGGUGUGUGUGUUUCCCUGCCUGGUGGCUCUGAGAUAUUUGUCUACUUUAUAAACAAGCUAAUACACAGUUAUCUACUAUUAAAAUUAUGCACAAAUAAAUGGAGGUUUUUUUAAGUAUGUAUCCAUUGAUGCUGGUAUUAGUUAUACUUUUGAGAAUGGAAGUUAUUAGUUAUUACUCCACUUAUUGCUUAGCCUGCUCUUCCAGGAGUGGCUCUGGAUGGGCUGGAAUGCAAACAGUUGUGUUGGGCCCUUGGCCCAGUCUGUCCUGCAAAGCUGGACAGGACCCAGGGGAGUCAGGUUCCUUGGGCCUGUCUCUGGGCUCUGCCCCCCAGUACCAUGGUGAGAUGGUGAAUGGGGAACUGAAGGGAGGGCAGAGUUAAAGGUUCAGACUCAAGAGCUAACCAAUUGUGUGGGUACUUUUGCAAAAACAUUAACAGAAAUUUGGACCAAUAAUGUUGACCCAAGAGGUAUAUAUACAGCCCAUAGCAGAGCCCACUGGCAGAAGCUGCUAUGGGGUUUUCUGAGAUUCAUUUUGUCCUUUGGAUUCAGAACACUGGAGCACUUGGAGCAGAAAUUGGCUGUUGAGUUUCCACAGUCAGCUGGCACAUCCACAGGCAGAACCAGCUAUUAGAGCUGCUUGUCUGCAGAGGCCUGCUAUUUUCAUGGAGCCCACCCACCCAUAGAAGGAAUAAACUGUCCAUGCACUACAGGGACAUUUUAUGGAGAGAUGUGUACUCAUUCAUAUGGAUUAAUAACAAUGAGAUUUGUUGAUAUGGAUGGUUAAAUGAUGAAGUCUUUAAAGUGAUGCCUGAAUCUCCUUUUCAUAGAAUCACAAAUAAUCUUAUAGUAGAGCUUAGGAUAGGUGUCAUGCUUCAGAGUAAAAUACAGAUACAUUGGUUUGGUGUUCUUUUUCCUGUUGAAGGAUAUUUGAAAGGGCACAUCAUUAACAUAAUCUAAGAAAGGUAGCAAAUUCAGAUUUUUGUCACAAAAGCAGAAAGAAGUGAGCAGAGUUUUGGUGAAUAAGUUGAAGUGAUUGCUGUAAUACAUAUUCUGGUAGUUUGAGAGGAAAUGGCAUGGAGUCAGGUUUGGUUUACAGUAGGGAGAAGACUUGGAGGAAAUUGCAGUUCUCCCCAAAACUAUCUUUGGGCAAAUACACAAAAAUAAAAACAAUUGAGAUAUAUUCUAGAGGUCUUCCUGCUGUCACUUGCUUAUAGAUUGGUUGAGCCCAUGAAUUAAAAAGGUGAAUUAGGAAUAAUUUAAUUUCUUAAUUAAUUGAAUAAGUUUUAGUAAGAGAAGCUAUUUGGAAACUGUUUCAGAGGAAAGUUUGAGAACCUUAUUUUGAAGUUUUACAUUGGAGGGGAUUAAAUAGGCAGUUUAAUGUUUGUAUACAAAAUUCAAGUAGUGUUGAUACAAAUGAUAUACAUUAUGGAGGAAUCAGCAAUGAAAUAACAGGUAAAGGGAAAGAACUUGAUAAGAUCAGGUAAGUAAAUAGUAUGAAAAAAGAAAAGUACCACAGACAACAACCUAGCCUGAAGUGCAUACAAUGUUGCUAUAGAAAAAAAAACACUAAGAGAUACAUGGACAAUUAGUGCAAAGGAACAAAUAUUUCCAGGAGGGUAGUAUGGUCAUUUCAUUUUAGAUUUCUGACCAAACACAUGUCCAUUGGAAUUGGAAAGAGGGAGUUUAUUGUGGGUUCUAUGGCAGCACUGUGUCAGUUGUAGUUCUUUUGAGUACUUACUUCAUUGUUAUUACAUAUUCUCCAUACAUCAUCUAUCUGUGUCUUAUUUUCUUAUUUGUUGGAGGUUAUUGAUUUGAAGGAAGUGUUUCCCUCUGAAAUAAGAGCAUAUAAGUAAUGUAACUUUGUGUUGCAUUCCAUGAUAUUUUAGCAAGAAAAUCUCCAUGUAUAUACCACCUAUGUUGCUUCCGGUUUAGAGGAAACUUCCCAGUCACUACCCAUCCUCCUCAUAGAGAUAUGUUUAUUUUUUCUGAUUGCUUUUUU
rnacentral:lncRNA from 1 species